rnacentral:rRNA from 1 species
CCUACGGGGAGCAGCAGUGAGGAAUAUUGGUCAAUGGACGAGAGUCUGAACCAGCCAAGUAGCGUGAAGGAUGACUGCCCUAUGGGUUGUAAACUUCUUUUAUAUGGGAAUAAAAUGUUCCACGUGUGGGAUUUUGUAUGUACCAUAUGAAUAAGGAUCGGCUAACUCCGUGCCAGCAGCCGCGGUAAUACGGAGGAUCCGAGCGUUAUCCGGAUUUAUUGGGUUUAAAGGGAGCGUAGGUGGAUUGUUAAGUCAGUUGUGAAAGUUUGCGGCUCAACCGUAAAAUUGCAGUUGAAACUGGCAGUCUUGAGUACAGUAGAGGUGGGCGGAAGUCGUGGUGUAGCGGUGAAAUGCUUAGAUAUCACGAAGAACUCCGAUUGCGAAGGCAGUUCACUGGACUGCAACUGACACUGAGGCUCGAAAGUGUGGGUAUCAAACAGGAUUAGAUACCCGGGUAGUC